ACCUGCUAAAUAGCCAGGUUGACUUUUGUCGGCCGCCGGCUUCUUAGAGGGACUUUUGGCUCAAGCCAAUGGAAGUACGAGGCAAUAACAGGUCUGUGAUGCCCUUAGAUGUUCUGGGCUGCACGCGCGCUACACUGAUGAAGUCAGCGAGUUUAUAACCUUG
rnacentral:rRNA from 1 species